UGGCGCGUGAUUGUUGCUUCCGUGAUGUUGAAUUUGAGAGUCACAAUAGUUCUAUCAUUGCUUUGGUGAAAGAGGGGAAUGGGAACCCUAGAUCGUAUUUAGGUGAUUGCGUGAGGAAUUCGAAUCUGUGUCGAUGUUGUUGAGUUUUUGAGAGAAACAAAGACUUUGUGCGGUUAUUAUUUAGGGUUUGCAGAGAGAUGAA
rnacentral:lncRNA from 1 species